rnacentral:rRNA from 1 species
UACGAAGGGUGCAAACGUUGCUCGGAAUCAUUGGGCGUAAAGCGCACGUAGGCGGCCCGAUAAGUCGGAUGUGAAAUCCCUCGGCUCAACCGAGGACGUGCAUUCGAAACUGUCGGGCUCGAGUAUGGAAGAGGGUCGCGGAAUUCCCGGUGUAGAGGUGAAAUUCGUAGAGAUCGGGAAGAACACCCGUGGCGAAGGCGGCCGGCUGGGCCGGAUCCGACGCUGAGGCGCGAAAGCGUGGGGAGCAAACAGG